CAAACAAAAAUAUAAACGAAUGGUCAUGGUAAAAAGUAAAGUAAAAAACGAGUAAACAUACACACGUACACGUACACAACGUCAACUAAGAUGCGUGCACUCAACCUAGAGAAAAAUGAUGUCAUAAUGCUAAUAAAAGCAUGCGUAUGUCAAACGAAACAAACUGUGUGUCGUGUCCUUAUGUGGCAGUUACGUAUGUGCGUCAAUGAGUGUUACCUGCGCGCGGCCGAAGUAAUUCAUAUAGGAAAUAACAGGAAAGGUGCGUAGGUCCGAGUGUAGUGCGGGCUACCACGAAUGUGCGCCGGUCAUCGACGCGGCCGUCACAUUCCCCUUAUAAACGCAGAAAAAUGUUGAGUGGCUUAAGUUUUACCUUAAAUAAAUGAAACGUUCCAAAGACAAUGCACACCGUGCGUAAAUAAAACUAUUUUUCUAGCAUGAAAUUACCAUUGCACUGAAACUCCCAUGGUGUACUUUUGGCGUAUGGGCUGUUUAGUCCCUCAUUCAGACACAAAACUCUUCAUAAGCUGUAAAGCAGCAAGGCGAGACAACAUUCAAGUAUUUAUAUGCUCACUAACUCCAAAACGUCCCUUACCCAGUCGCAUGCCCCCACACACUGGCACCCACACACACUACCUCCCUCACACACUACCUCACCCAUCUUUACACAUACACGUACACACACAGACAGACACACACGCACCAUAUCGUGUCAGCCUCAUUAAAUCACACUCAUAAAGACUAGUUAAGUCAACUGCAGCAUUUUCAGCAAAUAAUUCAGCCUGAGAUCGUGGCAGAAACAUGAUGAAUUUCCUGUGAGGGAUAGACACACCCACUUGUAAAUAAAUAGCCAACCAGCUGUUCUAAAAGUUCCUGUCGUAGGGAACAGCGAACACAGCCACCGUAACUCUUGAGAACAGAACUGCACAUGAGAAUGAAAUUUGUCGCACGUUCAGGCAUUCAAAUGAAGGACUGGAGUUCGAUGGAGCUGCCGUUCACGAAUCUGGAGAUCGCCUUCAUUCUGAUAGCCUUCGUAGUGUUCUCCCUGUUCAGCUUGGCUUCGGUCUACAGUGAACCAAACGCAAAAAAAGAAGAGGAAAGCCCC